rnacentral:rRNA from 1 species
GACGAACGCUGGCGGCGUGCUUAAUACAUGCAAGUCGAACGGAAAGGCCCUGCUUUUGUGGGGUUCUCGAUUGGCGAACGGGUGAGUAACACGUGAGUAACCUGCCCUUGACUUUGGGAUAACUUCAGGAAACUGGGGCUAAUACCGGAUAUGAUCUCCUGCUGCAUGUUGUGGGUUGGAAAGUUUCGGCGGUUGGGGAUGGACUCGCUGCUUAUCAGCUUGUUGGUGUGGUAGUGGCUUACCAAGGCUUUGACGGGUAGCCGGCCUGAGAGGGUGACCGGCGACAUUGGGCCUGAGAUACGGACCAGAAUGCUACGGGAGGCAGCAGUGGGGAAUAUUGCACAAUGGGCGGAAGCCUGAUGCAGCAACGCCGCGUGCGGGAUGACGGCCUUCGGGUUGUAAACAGAUUUCGACUGUGACGAAGAGUGAGUGACGGUACUGGGUAAAGAAGCACCGGCUAACUACGUG